UUCCCCUUCCAUUCCCCAGUCGAACCGCGUUGAUCCUUUCACGUUGAAGAUGCUAUAAUUGCCUAUUUUGAGCGGAAUCUUUCUGACUGGUAUGUGUGAUGGAAAUCUGGGUGUUGGGUUGAUUGAUUGGAUGGAGGGUUUUGAGGAAGUUGAAAAAUCCACCCUAUCACGUAUUCACGUAUUCACCCUUAUCACACUGCUUAAGCAAGCGGUGUGACCACAAAUCUAAGUCUGUUACAAUAAGUUUAAGUCGAGGAGUGUAUAUCUUGAGCCUUGAACGCCAUGGCAUUCGUAGCAUCCCAAAUUCUCCGUAGGAUGGCAAGGAGAAUAAAAGGCCAUGCAUCGUUGUUGAGCCCCGGUGGCGUUGUUGCAUUCCAAAGAGAUGAUGUGCUGGAGGAGUGGAGAAAGGUGACUACUCUUUGCCAAAUCCUGUUGGCCAGUGGACAUGUGAUGAAGAGAUAAUCUGUGUCUUCCAAUUGAGAGCACCUUGGGCAGUACGGGUUUGAGGUAAUGGAUUUAUGCGCCAAAUUUGCUUUUGUGUUUAGCCUGCCCUUGAAGAGAAGCGAAGUGAAGACCUCGAUCUUGUUUGGUACCUUGGAUUGCCAAAUGAACUGUGUGUGGUUGUCUUUAUCAUCUUCUUUUGUUAACAGCUUAUAGGUUCUCUUGGUCGUGAAAGCAUGGCCCCCAUCGAGGAAGUGAGAGUCUGGUUCAUCUGUGAGCCUAAAAUCCUGCAGGAAAAAAAAGAGUCCAGUUCUAGGGAAGCAGUACUAAUUAGGUGGUUAUGCAGGUUAAGUUCCAAACCGAAACACAUAAUAUUUGCCAUAACAAGAGGACCAAUGGAAUGGGAAAAGAGGCAUGGGAACAAAGAAGCCAAAGGUUUAGAAGAAAGCCAAGUAUCUAGCCAGAAAGAAAAGAGGGGUGAGAAUCAAGCACUACGAAAGCAUUGGGGUGUUGUAAGGAAAGCCAAUCCAACCAGGGUGUGGGAGAGGGGAGCCAAUCCAAUCAUAGAUUAGAUGUUGCUGAAAGCGUGCUGAGAAUGUUAAGAGGGGUCGUGGU